GCAACGGUGUGGAAGGAUGCCACAAGCAGAGCCUCGGUCGGAGGAUCUCGGGAAAAACGCCUUCCGAAGUCGAAAGUGGGAAGAAGCGCAGGCCGGAAAAUGAUGAUUUUUCCGAGAAAAUGUGGGGGAGUGGUGAUGAGAGGAGGCCUGUUCGAGAACCUCGAAAAGAUGUGAAAUUAAGGGAAACAUCAGGAUUUGGUGAGGGGAGAAGCAGCCUAAAAUCUUGAAGAUGUGAAAUUUGGGGAGAAUGAGGGUUUGAUGAUUGAGGAAAACGGGGGAACCAAAAGGCAUGGAAAUUGGAUACUCUGAAGAUGAAGGAGUUUCUGUGUGGAGAAGUCGACGCCUUCGAUGGCUCGGGACAGGAGCCCAGCAUAAUGCGAUUGACUAAAAAUUCCUUAAAGUGGAGAAAAAGGAGCAGUCUUUAACGUGCCAUCAAUGUCGGAGGAACAAUAAAGGACGAGUUGCUCGGUGCCUGAAAUCUGAGAGGAAGCGAUUUUGCAUCCCCUGCUUACGGAAUUGUGAAGCAAGGCUUUAGCUGAGAGAAAGAGCAAGAAGUAAAAGGAGGUAGCAGUUACAACUCAAUUUGACAUUCUCCAUGGUAAAAAAAAGAGUCAAUUGGCAUCAUUGUUCUAAUAGUUGGACAGAACAGGUAGACUGAUCUCAGAAAUAUAUUGAGGGGUGAGAAAAUGCAGCUGUCUUCUGGAGGUUUGCUUUUGAUGGAUUGAAAAUGCAAUGGCAUGAGCGGAUUCGGAAAGAGAUCUCAAGUGCAUCCUUUCAGAUUCAAGGUGUGAAGCUUGAACCAACCUGGGCUUGCUUGUUUACUUCAUGGGCUUAACUGCAUCGGAGAGAUGCUGGUGACAGCCAAUAAUGAGGAGAUAAAGAGAUAACAUGAGAGGACAGAAGAUGUGGAUGGCAUUGAUCCUAUACUGGUGGCUAUGGAUGGCCUUGAGAUGAAUGAGGAAGAGGAAGGCGAAGCAAGUACUUUUGAUAAUGAGCAUAAUUGGGAAAUUAUAUAUAUUUCAAAUAAUGUAGAGUAGUGAUGGAUAGAAAAUGGAAAUAGUAGCACAAGAAGUAUAGAUGGGAUACUAAUAUAAUAUGUUAAAUGUACUUUGUAUUAGGGUUUGUAAGGUCUAGUUAAGGGUAUUUUUCUUCCAGGAGAUGAUGUAAGGGGAGGAGCCAAACUCAGUUACAAUUUUCUACUAGGGCUCCUUUGUUGUGUUCUUUUUUUAACUAUGGUCAUGGCACAUGAAUGUCAUGAUCAUGAAUAGAACUAUAUCGAGAUACUUUGAGUUGCAA